CUUAAAUUUAGGGCUUCCGUGUGUUGCUGCAGAGUUGCAUCAUUUAUGCCACCCUGCAAGCCAGUGCUAGCUGCUGGGUUAGGGUCUGACUUCCUGGCCCCGGGGGCACUCUUUGCCUCACCCCCUUUGCCUUCCCAAUGCAUUCACUGGGGCUCUUUCUUCCCCCAGGAGGGCCAGGUGCCCUGACCAAUAUCUCCCUUGUCUUAAAAGCCAUCAUGUAAUUGUUACUGGCUCAUCUUUAUCUGUACCCUAUGCCUGGGGAACAAAACCUCUCUGUCAAGAAUAAUCAAGCCCAGAUCCACACCACCACAAACACCCCAGGAAAUCAGGGUGGAUUUACCGGGUUCUCCAGAACCUGCAACUCAGAACAACUAUCCUUUCGUGACUUCCAUCUUCUAGAUCUGCAUGGGCCAAGUGUGUUGUGACAUUAGCUGCUUCUUCCAUGUUCAAGUAUGUUUAGCAAUCGCAUUAGUUAUGGAAAUCCUGGGUUAACCAUUGAUAAAUAUGCAUAUUUACUGCAGUAAUUAUCAGAGGUGUAAUGUGCAUUGUGAAUCUCCAAGAGACAGAUCAGGAUGGCACAUUUUCCAACUGUAGUUAACUAUCAAACCCUCUUAUCUAGGAACACCUCCCUGGAACGGUGUUCUCCGCACACACUUAUGAAAACCCCAACGUAGACACCUGUUAAAUUCAGUAAUUUAAUAUGGUGUCCAACACACAGUAGAAAAGGAUAUUGGAUGCAGAACUGUGGCUCUGGGUACUGGCAGAUUUAUCAGGUUUGCUGAAUGGCUGGUCACCGUGAGUCAAAUGCCAGCUUAAGACCCCAAAUAUUUAAAACCACAAUGAAGAUCUGGCCAAGGAAAGCCCAGCCCAGCCGAUCCAAGGGAUCCUGUUUCCCAGGGUUUUGGACAGCAAGUGUCCCUGGUGCUGGCCAAGUCCUUCAGGAGUCCAGAUGCUCACAUGGGGGCUUUUUGAGAUGCACCGUGCUGGGGGCCUUAACCCAGAGAGGCUGACACAUCGAGCAUGGAGCGGGCCAAAGAGCUCUUCAAAUACAAGCCAUCAAUUCCUUUCGUCAGUAAGACACGGCUGGGGGAAGAGCAGCUAGUGCAGAAAGAUUUAUCUUGGAAAACAAGAGGCACCUACCCUAUCCUCUCCAUUGC